rnacentral:rRNA from 1 species
UACGUAGGGCGCAAGCGUUGUCCGGAAUUAUUGGGCGUAAAGAGCUCGUAGGCGGCCUGUUGCGUCCGCUGUGAAAUCCCGGGGCUCAACCCCGGGCCUGCAGUGGAUACGGGCUGGCUGGAGGCAGGCAGGGGAGACUGGAAUUCCUGGUGUAGCGGUGAAAUGCGCAGAUAUCAGGAGGAACACCGGUGGCGAAGGCGGGUCUCUGGGCCGAUACUGACGCUGAGGAGCGAAAGCGUGGGGAGCGAACAGG